rnacentral:rRNA from 1 species
UACGUAGGGUGCAAGCGUUGUCCGGAAUUAUUGGGCGUAAAGAGCUCGUAGGCGGUUUGUCGCGUCUGCUGUGAAAACCCGAGGCUCAACCUCGGGCCUGCAGUGGGUACGGGCAGACUAGAGUGCGGUAGGGGAGAUUGGAAUUCCUGGUGUAGCGGUGGAAUGCGCAGAUAUCAGGAGGAACACCGAUGGCGAAGGCAGAUCUCUGGGCCGUAACUGACGCUGAGGAGCGAAAGCACGGGGAGCGAACAGG